AACGAACGCUGGCGGCAUGCCUAACACAUGCAAGUCGAACGAGACCUUCGGGUCCAGUGGCGCACGGGUGCGUAACGCGAGGGAACCUGCACUUAGGUUCGGAAUAACUCCCCGAAAGGGGUGCUAAUACCGGACAAUGUCUUCGGCCCAAAGAUUUAUCGCCUUUGGAUGGGCCCGAGUUGGAUUCGCUAGUUGGUAGGGUAAAAGCCUACCAAGGCGACGAUCCAUAGCUGGUCUGAGAGGAUGAUCAGCCACACUGGGACUGGGACACGGCCCAGACUCCUACGGGAGGCAGCAGUGGGGAAUAUUGGACAAUGGGCGAAAGCCUGAUCCAGCAAUGCCGCGUGAGUGAUGAAGGCCUUAGGGUUGUAAAGCUCUUUUACCCGGGAUGAUAAUGACAGUACCGGGAGAAUAAGCUCCGGCUAACUCCGUG
rnacentral:rRNA from 1 species